GAUGAACGCUGGCGGCGUGCCUAAUACAUGCAAGUCGAGCGAACAGACGAGGAGCUUGCUCCUCUGACGUUAGCGGCGGACGGGUGAGUAACACGUGGAUAACCUACCUAUAAGACUGGGAUAACUUCGGGAAACCGGAGCUAAUACCGGAUAAUAUAUUGAACCGCAUGGUUCAAUAGUGAAAGACGGUUUUGCUGUCACUUAUAGAUGGAUCCGCGCCGCAUUAGCUAGUUGGUAAGGUAACGGCUUACCAAGGCAACGAUGCGUAGCCGACCUGAGAGGGGUGACGGGCACACUGGGAAUGGAGCCCGGGUCCAGCUCCAGAGGGGAGGAGCAAGAAGGGAAUCUCCCGAAAGGGGCGAAGGCCGAACGGAGAACCCCCGGGGGGGGGAUGAAGUUUUCCGGAUCUAAAAACUUGUUUAUUAGGGAAAAAAAAAUGUGUAAGUAAAUAUGCCCGUCUGGACGUUACCUAACAAGAAGCCCACGGCAAACUACGGG
rnacentral:rRNA from 1 species